rnacentral:rRNA from 1 species
AUUGAACGCUGGCGGCAGGCCUAACACAUGCAAGUCGAACGGGUGGCGGACGGGUGGGUAAUGUCUGGACACCUGCCUGAUGGAGGGAGAUAACUACUGGAAACGGUAGCUACUACCGCAUACCAUCAGAUCGGCCGUGGUGGGAUUAGCUAGUCGGUGGGGUAACGGCUGACCAAGGCGUAGAUCCUUAGCUGGGCUGAGAGGAUGACCAGCCACACUGGAACUGAGACACGGGCCAGACUCCUACGGGAGGCAGCAGUGGGGAAUAUUGCACAAUGGGCGAAAGCCUGAUGGAGCCACGCCGCGUGGAUGAAGAAGGUCUUCGGGUUGUAAAGGACUUUCAGCGGGGAGGCGUUAUCUGCAGAAGAAGCACCGGCUAACUCCGUGCCAGCAGCCGCGGUAAUAC